CGUAGCCGAUGGACAACAGGUUGAGAUUCCUGUACUACAGUAUGACAGAGCUGUGGGGACGCAGAAGGAGAGCACUACCUGGAAUGGAAUCCAGGGGCAAGCACAGGAGGGGUACGGCUGGAAAAACCGCCGUGCAACCCAAAGGUGUGACGCAUACCGAACUAAAGUAGGGAAAUGUGUGAGCCGGCUGCCGAGAAAAGCCGCUAUUGUUUGUACUGUACCCGUACCGUAAACCGACACAGGUGGAUGAGGAGAGAAUCCUAAGGCCGACGGAAGAAGCAUUGCUAAGGAACUCGGCAAAAUGACCCUGUAACUUCGGGAGAAAGGGUGCCUCGAAAGAGGCCGCAGAGAAUAGGCCCAAGCAACUGUUUAGCAAAGACACAGGUCUAUGCAAAACCGCAAGGUGAAGUAUAUGGGCUGACGCCUGCCCGGUGCUGGAAGGUUAAGGGGAGAUGUCAGGAGACGAAGCAUCGAACUUAAGCCCCAGUAAACGGCGGCCGUAACCAUAACGGUCCUACGGUAGCGAAAUUCCUUGUCGGGUAAGUUCCGACCCGCACGAAAGGCGUAAUGAUUUGGGCGCUGUCUCGGCAAUGCAUCCGGUGAAAUUGAAGUGCCAGUGAAGAUGCUGGCUACCCGCGCCAGGACGGAAAGACCCCAUGGAGCUUUACUCCAGCUUGAUACUGGGAUUCGGUAUUGUAUGUACAGGAUAGGUGGGAGGCUGAGAAAUGGUGACGCCAGUCGCCAUGGAGCCGCUGUUGGGAUACCACCCUUGCAGUACUGGAUUUCUAACCAGCAGCCGUGAUCCGGCUGGGGGACAAUGUCAGGUGGGGAGUUUGACUGGGGCGGUCGCCUCCGAAAGGGUAUCGGAGGCGCUCAAAGGUUCCCUCAGAAUGGUCGGAAACCAUUCGAAGAGUGCAAAGGCAGAAGGGAGCUUGACUGCGACACCGACGGGUGGGGCAGGUACGAAAGUAGGACUUAGUGAUCCGGUGGUAUUAAGUGGGAAUGCCAUCGCUCAACGGAUAAAAGCUACCCUGGGAUAACAGGCUUAUCACUCCCAAGAGUUCACAUCGACGGAGUGGUUUGGCACCUCGAUGUCGGCUCAUCGCAUCCUGGGGCUGUAGUAGGUCCCAAGGGUUGGGCUGUUCGCCCAUUAAAGCGGUACGCGAGCUGGGUUCAGAACGUCGUGAGACAGUUCGGUCCCUAUCCGGCGUGGGCGUAGGAUAUUUGAGAGGAGCUGACCUUAGUACGAGAGGACCGGGUUGGACUGACCUCUGGUGCACCGGUUGUCAUGCCAAUGGCACAGCCGGGUAGCCAAGUCGGGAAGGGAUAAACGCUGAAGGCAUCUAAGCGUGAAGCCCCCCUCAAGAUGAGAUAUCCCCCGCAUAAGCGGUAAGACCCCUUGAAGACGACGAGGUAGAUAGGGCAGAGGUGGAAGUGCAGUAAUGUAUGGAGCUGACUGCUACUAAUAGGUCGAAGGCUUAACCAA
rnacentral:rRNA from 1 species